AACAAGAUAAGGCUAAGUGUAAAUCUUGUGGGAAAUUACUUGUUCAUAGGUUACUGGAGAUCGUAGCGGCACGGGUAGUUUAGUUAAGCAUAUAAAAUAACACCCUAACGAUAAGGCUAGAUUUUUGCAAUUGAAAGCGCAACAAGAGGGGAGGACAAGUGUUGAUUCUACAGCUAACUCAAGUACUGGUUCAAAUCUAGUUCAACCAGGAAUAAACACAGUCACCGGAGGUAUUUUAUAUUACGAUCCAAAUAAGGAUCGGGAAGAAUUAGCGAAAAUGAUUACUGUUAUGUGUUUGCCUUAUUCUUUUGCUUCUAAUCCUGCAUGGAUUCAUUAUAUUAGA
rnacentral:lncRNA from 1 species